rnacentral:rRNA from 1 species
AUUGAACGCUGGCGGCAGGCUUAACACAUGCAAGUCGAUUCGAUUUACCUUCGGGUAUUGAGGAUGGCGGACGGGUGAGUAACGCGUAAGGAACUUGCCUCUUGGUCUGGGACAACUGUUGGAAACGACAGCUAAUACCGGAUAUUAUGAGAUUCUCGCAUGGGAAACUUAUGAAAGCUAUAUGCGCCAAGAGAGAGCCUUGCGUUCCAUUAGCUAGUUGGUGGGGUAACGGCCCACCAAGGCGACGAUGGAUAGCCGGCCUGAGAGGGUGAACGGCAACAAGGGGACUGAGACACGGCCCUUACUCCUACGGGAGGCAGCAGUGGGGAAUAUUGGACAAUGGACCAAAAGUCUGAUCCAGCAAUUCUGUGUGCACGAUGAAGGUCUUCGGAUUGUAAAGUGCUUUCAGUUGGGAAGAAGCAAGUGACGGUACCAACAGAAGAAGCGACGGCUAAAUACGUGCCAGCAGCCGCGGUAA